rnacentral:sRNA from 17 species
AAAUUAAAAAGCUGAAUCCUCGAAAGAGGUACGGAGGAACCAAGAUUUGGGGUUAAUCCAUUCUUUAUUCUUUUAUUGAAUGGUAGGGAGGUCCUAUUGCCCGAGCCCGUCAGCUAACUUCGGAAGCGCUACUAUAGGAGGG